rnacentral:rRNA from 1 species
GGUUCAGAACGAACGCUGGUGGCGUGUCUAUACAUGCAAGUCGAGCGAGGCAGCAAUGCCGAGCGGCGAACGGGUGAGUAACGCGUAAGCAAUCUGCCCCAUAUCAGGAAAUACCCGUGCCAACGCGCGGUUAAUGUCCAGGAGAGUGGCCCUCCGCAUGGAGGGUUGACUAGAGAUUUAUCGGUAUGGGAUGAGCUUGCGUCCGAUUAGCUAGUUGGCGGGCAACGGCCCACCAAGGCGACGAUCGGUAGCCGGCCUGAGAGGGUGAUCGGCCACAUUGGGACUGAGAUACGGCCCAGACUCCUACGGGAGGCAGCAGUAGGGAAUAUUGCACAAUGGGGGAAACCCUGAUGCAGCAACGCCAACCGUGUGGGAAGAAGCAUUUCGGUGUGUAAACCACUGUCAUGAGGGAAUAAGGCCCGCCUUCGGACGGGAUUGAAUGUACCUUGAAAGGAAGCACCGGCAAACUUCGUGCCAGCAGCGGC